UACAUAGGGUGCGAGCGUUAUCCGGAAUUAUUGGGUGUAAAGGGUGCGUAGACGGGAAGGCAAGUUGGUUGUGAAAUCCCUCGGCUCAACUGAGGAACUGCAACCAAAACUACCGAUCUUGAGUGCUGGAGGGGAAAGUGGAAUUCCUAGUGUAGCGGUGAAAUGCGUAGAUAUUAGGAGGAACACCAGUGGCGAAGGCGACUUUCUGGACAGUAACUGACGUUGAGGCACGAAAGUGUGGGGAGCAAAC
rnacentral:rRNA from 1 species